rnacentral:rRNA from 1 species
UACGAGGGGGGCAAGCGUUGUUCGGAAUUAUUGGGCGUAAAGGGUGCGUAGGCGGUUUUGUAAGUCUUAUGUGAAAUCUAUGGGCUCAACUCAUAGACUGCAUGAGAAACUGCAGGGCUUGAGUGUGGGAGAGGUGAGUGGAAUUUCCGGUGUAGCGGUGAAAUGCGUAGAUAUCGGAAGGAACACCUGUGGCGAAAGCGGCUCACUGGACCACAACUGACGCUGAUGCACGAAAGCUAGGGGAGCAAACAGG